CAGGCCAGCCAGAGCUAAUUUCUAUCUCCCAGCAUGGAGGACGACGGCAGCCUGCUCCCCAAGGAUGAGCUUUUGGCCGAUGCCCCCCUUUUGGAAGAUGAAAGAGAUGAAUUAGAGGAUCCGGAGUUUGACAUCAAAUGUCUUCUGCAGGAAGCUGAGGAUGACGUGGACCCAGGACACAGCAGCUCAGUGAAAGAACUAGAUACUGAUGCUGAUAAAUUGAAGAAGAAAACAGCUGAGGACAGAAUGCAGGCAUUUCACCUGCGACAGAACCUGAGCGCCCUGGAUAAGAUGCAUGAGGAGCAAGAGCUUUUCAUUGAGAAGAUGAGAGGGGAGCUGCGCGCCUGUCGGCAGAGGCGGGACCUGAUCAACAAGCAGCAGGAGGCUGUGGCAGCCGAGAUCGCCACAGAGGAAGAGGCGGGCAACAUGGCCGCCGUGGGCCGUCUCCAGGCCGUGUCCAGACGCCUGUUUGCGGAGCUGGAGAACGAGAGAGACCUGCAGUCGAGGACUGAGGCCGUGCUGAAGGAGAGCGAGAACGCCAUGUGGCACAUCCAGAUCCAGGAGGGGCGACUUGAGGCCUUCCGGACAGCUGACCUUGAGGAGGUGGAGGCCACGGGGCGGCGGCUCCAGGUGCGCGCAGCUGAGCGGCUCUGCAGAGAGCAGGAGGCCCUGGGGAAAGUGGAGCGGAACCGGCUGCUGAGGAUCAGGAAGUCCCUGCAUACCCAGAAGGAGCUCGGGCUCAGGCACCAGAAGCUGCUGGAGGACGCCCGGAAGAACCACAAAGUUGCCGUGCGGUUCCUGAAGGCCUCCCUGGGAAGAAUCCGAGAGCAAGAGAAGAAGGAGGAGAUGGAGUGCCACGAGCAUAUGAGGCGACGCAUGGACGCGGUGGUGGCACUGAAGGGCAGCAUCUCCGCGAACCGGGACACCCUGCGGAAGUUCCAAGCAUGGGACCGUGCCAAGGCAGAGCUGGCAGAGCAGAGGGUCCAGGCUGAGAAGAAGGCGAUUCUGGCCCAGGGCGGGGAUGCAUUCAGGCACCUUGUCCACCAGCGCCGGCGCCAGGAGCUGGAGGCCCAGAAGAGGGCCUUUGAGGAGGAACAGAAGCUCAGAAAGCAGGAGAUUGUCAGUCGGAUUCUGAAAGAGGAGGCUGAGGAGGAAAAGAGGAAGAAACAGCGUCCCCCCACCAGUGCCAGGCACCGGCCGACCCUGAGGGACAAGACCUGGAACUACAUUUCUGACUUUUGCAAGGAGGAGACCACAGUCCCAACCAACACGUACACACUGGACUACGAGGCUGCUGCAGGCCCCGGGCCUUCUCGGUUGCUGGAAGUCGUCUCCAGUGAGCUUAUCCAGGGGGACCCCGGGGCCAGCUCAGAGGAGGAAACGUUAGCUGAGCCCGAGAUCUCUGGGCUUUGGAAUGAAGACUACAAGCCAUACCAGGUGCCCAAGGAGGAUGUGGACCGAAAGCCCGUGGGUGGGACAAAGAUGGACAAGGACAUCCUGGCGCGCACAGUGGAGCGACUGCGGAGCAGGGUGGUCCACAAGCAGGUGGUGUUGGGGCGUGAGUUCCAAGGUCGCCCCUUCAACAGCAAACCGGAGCUCCUCCACUUCAAAGACUUUGACAUUGGCAAAGUGUACAAGAAAAAGAUCACGUUGGUCAACACCACCUACACGAUCAACUACUGCAAGCUGGUGGGCGUGGAGGAGCACCUCCGGGACUUCAUCCACGUUGACUUUGACCCCCCUGGCCCCCUGUCAGCCGGAAUGUCCUGCGAAGUGCUUGUCACCUUCAAGCCCAUGAUAAACAAGGAUCUAGAAGGAAAUAUCUCAUUUUUGGCUCAGACGGGCGAGUUUUCAGUUCCACUGAAAUGUUCAACAAAGAAAUGUUCGCUGUCCCUCGACAAGGAGCUCAUUGACUUCGGCAGCUACGUGGUAGGAGAGACCACGUCUCGGACCAUCACAUUGACCAACGUUGGGGGCUUGGGCACGACUUUCAAGUUCCUGCCAGCUUCAGAGCCCUGUGAGAUGGACGACUCCCAGUCUGCCCUGAAAUUAAGCAGUCUGCUGACCUACGAAGAUAAAAGUUUGUAUGACAAAGCUGCCACCAGCUUCUCUGAGCAGCAGCUGGAGGGCACGGAGUCCUCCCAGGCGGACAUGCAGAGCCGGAAGGAGCUGGAGAAGCUGGACAAGGAGCAGGAGGAGGAGCGGCCCGCAGUGUUGUUUUUGGAGUGGACUGAAAUGUACAUUCACGUUGACGCUAACCGAAGACUUGAAGGCACCUCCAGCAUUGGCCCAGCAGGCCGGGCGGGGCCGCACGGGGCGGGGAAGAGGCUCUGCGGUGCCCCCUGGAGAGGCCGGGCUGUGGGGGGCUUCUGUCUAGCUCUGCAGCUGUGGCUGUUGUUAGAUGCGCACCAGCGGGAAGAGGUUCGGAGAAACGGGCCGGCCCUGCCCUCCGCACGCCCUGCAGGGCCGCCAUCGGGAAUCGCUUGCGUCUCCUCCUUGCUUCUCUUGAUCGUUUUCCCACAUACGCAUCGAGAUCCAGAAACCUCCGUCCUCCUCCUGUCUGUCUUCUCGUG
rnacentral:sRNA from 1 species